rnacentral:rRNA from 1 species
AGUGAACGCUGGCGGUAGGCCUAACACAUGCAAGUCGAACGGCAGCACAGUAAGAGCUUGCUCUUACGGGUGGCGAGUGGCGGACGGGUGAGGAAUACAUCGGAGUCUACUUUUUCGUGGGGGAUAACGUAGGGAAACUUACGCUAAUACCGCAUACGACCUACGGGUGAAAGCAGGGGGUCUUCGGACCUUGCGCGAUUGAAUGAGCCGAUGUCGGAUUAGCUAGUUGGCGGGGUAAAGGCCCACCAAGGCGACGAUCCGUAGCUGGUCUGAGAGGAUGAUCAGCCACACUGGAACUGAGACACGGUCCAGACUCCUACGGGAGGCAGCAGUGGGGAAUAUUGGACAAUGGGCGCAAGCCUGAUCCAGCCAUACCGCGUGGGUGAAGAAGGCCUUCGGGUUGUAAAGCCCUUUUGUUGGGAAAGAAAAGCAGCAGGUUAAUACCCCGCUGUUCUGACGGUACCCAAAGAAUAAGCACCGGCUAACUUCGUG